CGAACGGGUGAGUAACGCGUGAGGAACCUGCCUCAAAGAGGGGGACAACAGUUGGAAACGACUGCUAAUACCGCAUAAGCCCACGGGUCGGCAUCGACCAGAGGGAAAAGGAGCAAUCCGCUUUGAGAUGGCCUCGCGUCCGAUUAGCUAGUUGGUGAGGUAAUGGCCCACCAAGGCGACGAUCGGCAGCCGGACUGAGAGGUUGAACGGCCACAUUGGGACUGAGACACGGCCCAGACUCCUACGGGAGGCAGCAUG
rnacentral:rRNA from 1 species